AGAGUUUGAUCCUGGCUCAGGACGAACGCUGGCGGCGCGCCUAACACAUGCAAGUCGAACGGACGAGGAAGUGCUUGCACUUCCGAGUUAGUGGCGGACGGGUGAGUAACACGUGAGCAACCUGCCUUUUAGAGGGGGAUAACGUCCUGAAAAGGACGCUAAUACCGCAUAAAGUCGAGAUGUGGCAUCGCAUCAUGACCAAAGGAGUAAUCCGCUGAAAGAUGGGCUCGCGCCUGAUUAGCUAGUUGGAGUGGUAACGGCACACCAAGGCGACGAUCAGUAGCCGGACUGAGAGGUUGAACGGCCACAUUGGGACUGAGACACGGCCCAGACUCCUACGGGAGGCAGCAGUGGGGAAUAUUGGGCAAUGGGGGAAACCCUGACCCAGCGACGCCGCGUGAGGGAUGAAGGUUUUCGGAUUGUAAACCUCUGUCUUCGGGGACGAAAAAAUGACGGUACCCGAGGAGGAAGCCACGGCUAACUACGUG
rnacentral:rRNA from 1 species